AUUGAACGCUGGCGGCAGGCCUAAAACAUGCAAGUCGAGCGGCACGGCGGACGGGAGAGUAAUACCUCGGACUCUGCCUGGUAGUGGGGGAUAACGUCCGGAAACGGGCGCUAAUACCACAUACUAUCAGAUGAGCCUAGGGCGGAUUAGCUAGUUGGUGGGGGAAAGGCCUACCAAGGCGACGAUACGUAACUGGUUUGGGAGGAUGAUCAGUGACACUGGUACUGAGACACGGCCCAGAAUCUUACGGGAGGCAGAAGUGGGGAAUAUUGGACAAUCGGCGAAAGCCUGUUGCAGCCACGCCGCGUGUGUGAAGAAGGUCUUCGGAUUGUAAAGCACUGUAAGUUGGGAGGCGUUACCUACAGAAUAAGCACCGGCUAACUACGUGCCAGCAGCCGCGGUAAUAC
rnacentral:rRNA from 1 species